GAUGAACGCUAGCGGCAGGCCUAACACAUGCAAGUCGAGGGAGAAGCCCUUCGGGGCAGAAACCGGCGCACGGGUGCGUAACGCGUAUGCAACCUACCUUUCACAGGGGGAUAGCCCGAAGAAAUUUGGAUUAAUACCCCAUAAUAUUAUUGGAUGGCAUCAUUUGAUAAUUAAAAUUACGAUGGUGAAAGAUGGGCAUGCGUCCUAUUAGCUAGUUGGAGUGGUAACGGCACCCCAAGGCUACGAUAGGUAGGGGUCCUGAGAGGGAGAUCCCCCACACUGGUACUGAGACAGGGACCAGACUCCUACGGGAGGCAGCAGUGAGGAAUAUUGGUCAAUGGUCGGAAGACUGAACCAGCCAUGCCGCGUGCAGGAAGAAUGCCUUAUGGGUUGUAAACUGCUUUUAUAUGGGAAGAAUAAGGAGUACGCGUACUUUGANGACGGUNCCA
rnacentral:rRNA from 1 species